CCUUGUUCUUUGCUCACCUGCCCGCCUGCCUAGCCUGCUCCAGUUGCUGCUACCAGCAGUCUCUCUGCUUCUCUACCUCCAAGAUGCUCUGCCUGGAUCCACUGGGUACAGAGUGGGACCAUCCCCUGGGCUCCAAGGACCUGGAUGGAGAGGAAGAACCAUGGAAAGGAGGCGCUGGUCUGCCACCCACAGACUGCUUCCCUGGGCCCUGGCGCCAGGAUGUUAGCCUGGAUUGCAAGGGCUCCCCGGAAGAGGCUGAGGCUCGGGCCUGGACUGUGUACUACUACGGUCUCCUUCAGAGCUGUCUGCAGCAAGCUGGCCUUCCUGAGACCCAGGAUCGCAGCCAGGCACCUCGUACAGGUGCCUCAGGGCUCCGCAAAUGGG
rnacentral:lncRNA from 1 species